GCCGAACUGUACGUCCAUCAUUGUGUCAUCAUUGAAGUAUAUGCAUCCACUGCAGUGGUCAUAGGUGUUUAUCAUAAUUAAGGAUGAUGAUCUCCCAUUGUAUCUUUUGGAAAAAUUUAAAGCAUACUGUAACAGUGUAGUGAAGAUAUAUGUUCUAAUGGGUAUACACCGUAAAGUAUAUUAUGUAUGUAAGUGUAUGUUUACUUGAGCUGUGAAGAAAGCUCAAAAAGUGAAUUAUCCCAAAGUUGUCGGAUAUUACUUGAGCUGUGAAGAAAGCUCAAAAAGUGGAUUAUCCCAAAGUUGUCGGAUAUUACUUGAGCUGUGAAGAAAGCUCCAAAAGUGGAUUAUCCCAAAGUGGUCGGAUAUUACUUGAGCUGUGAAGAAAGUUCAAAAAGUGGAUUAUCCCAAAGUUGUCGGAUAUUACUUGAGCUGUGAAGAAAGCUCCAAAAGUGGAUUAUCCCAAAGUUGUCGGAUAUUACUUGAGCUGUGAAGAAAGCUCCAAAAGUGGAUUAUCCCAAAGUUGUCGGAUAUUACUUGAGCUGUGAAGAAAGCUCAAAAAGUGGAUUAUCCCAAAGUGGUCGGAUAUCACUUGAGCUGUGAAGAAAGCUCAAAAAGUGGAUUAUCCCAAAGCUUUCAGAUAUUACUUGAGCUGUAAAGAAAGCUCAAAAAGUGGAUUAUCCCAAAGCUUUCAGAUAUUACUUGAGCUGUGAAGAAAGCUCAAAAAGUGGAUUAUCCCAAAGCUUUCAGAUAUUACUUGAGCUGUAAAGAAAGCUCAAAAAGUGGAUUAUCCCAAAGCUUUCAGAUAUUACUUGAGCUGUGAAGAAAGCUCAAAAAGUGGAUUAUCCCAAAGCUUUCAGAUAUUACUUGAGCUGUGAAGAAAGCUCAAAAAGUGGAUUAUCCCGAAGCUUUCAGAUAUUACUUGAGCUGUGAAGAAAGCUCAAAAAGUGGAUUAUCCCAAGGUUGUCGGAUAUUACUUGAGCUGUGAAGAAAGCUCAAAAAGUGGAUUAUCCCAAAGCUUUCAGAUAUUACUUGAGCUGUGAAGAAAGCUCAAAAAGUGGAUUAUCCCGAAGCUAUCCGAUAUUACUUGAGCUGUGAAGAAAGCUCAAAAAGUGGAUUAUCCCAAAGUUGUCGGAUAUUACUUGAGCUGUGAAGAAAGCUCAAAAAGUGGAUUAUCCCAAAGUUGUCGGAUAUUACUUCAGCUGUGAAGAAAGCUCAAAAAGUGGAUUAUCCCAAAGUUGUCGGAUAUUACUUGAGCUGUGAAGAAAGCUCAAAAAGUGGAUUAUCCCAAAGUUGUUGGAUAUUACUUGAGCUGUGAAGAAAGCUCAAAAAGUGGAUUAUCCCAAAGUUGUCGGAUAUUACUUGAGCUGAGAAGAAAG